AAGAAAAUUGUCAUCAAUGGCUUGCCUUAGGGUUUCCUAUAUUUUUCUUCUUAUGAUUUUGAUGGUUAUUUGCUUGAAGAUGACGAUGGCUCAGGACGUGGGAUCGGAGGACAACAUUGCACCUUCACCGGCGUUGGUGGCCGGCGAUGGUUUUGCUCCGGCGAUCUCUGUUGGAUUGUUCUUUACCUGCUAUGUAAUUAAUCUCCUUAUUAUGCAUUGAGUUUUACUAUGAUGUAUGGUGCUUCUAAAGUCACUUAAUAUGAU
rnacentral:lncRNA from 1 species